rnacentral:rRNA from 1 species
CCUACGGGAGGCAGCAGUGAGGAAUAUUGGUCAAUGGGCGCGAGCCUGAACCAGCCAAGUCGCGUGAGGGAGGACGGCCCUACGGGUUGUAAACCUCUUUUGCCGGGGAGCAACGGGCGCCACGUGUGGCGUCACUGAGAGUAACCGGAGAAAAAGCAUCGGCUAACUCCGUGCCAGCAGCCGCGGUAAUACGGAGGAUGCGAGGGUUAUCCGGGUUGAUUGGGGUUAAAGGGUUCGUAGGCGGAUCGUUAAGUCAGUGGUCAAAUUGGGAGGGUCACCCCCUUCCCGCCAUUGAAACUGGCGUUCUUGAGUGGAAGAGACGUAUGCGGAAGUCGUGGUGUAGCGGUGAAAUGCAUAGAUAUCACGCAGAACCCCGAUUGCGAAGGCAGCAUGCCGGCUUCCGACUGACGCUGAGGCACGAAGGCCAGGGGAGCGAAAGGGAUUAGAUACCCCAGUAGUC